GACGAACGCUGGCGGCGUGCUUAACACAUGCAAGUCGAACGGAAAGGCCCUGCUGUUGUGGGGUGCUCGAGUGGCGAACGGGUGAGUAACACGUGAGUAACCUGCCCUUGACUUUGGGAUAACUUCAGGAAACUGGGGCUAAUACCGGAUAGGAGCUCCUGCUGCAUGGUGGGGGUUGGAAAGUUUCGGCGGUUGGGGAUGGACUCGCGGCUUAUCAGCUUGUUGGUGGGGUAGUGGCUUACCAAGGCUUUGACGGGUAGCCGGCCUGAGCGGGUGACCGGCCACAUUGGGACUGAGAUACGGCCCAGACUCCUACGGGAGGCAGCAGUGGGGAAUAUUGCACAAUGGGCGGAAGCCUGAUGCAGCAACGCCGCGUGCGGGAUGACGGCCUUCGGGUUGUAAACCGCUUUCGCCUGUGACGAAGAGUGAGUGACGGUAAUGGGUAAAGAAGCACCGGCUAACUACGUG
rnacentral:rRNA from 1 species